UUUCUUCUCUUUUUUUUGGAUUUCUCUCUACAAGUGGCCCCUUUUCAUUAUAGCCACCUUGCACCGGAAAAGACACCAACUUACUCUCUUCACAUGUGUAGCCACCUUUCAUUAAUCGCACGCUGUCAAGAAGGAUAACCAUCAUACUGUCACCGCUUGUUCGUCUGCUACUACUUCUUCUUCGUUCAACGAUGCUGGCACUACUUCAAUGCUCUUCCCUUCACCAAUCAGACAAUCUUCACCACUGUAAGCUUUAACAGAGAGCUAGCUGGUUUGAUUCAAACCGAAACUCAUCUCCUUUGUGUGUGACUCUUUGAGUUAAUUGAAUGGGCUUGCCAUCAUAAGGGCUGCGAGCAGGCGAAACUCCUCUUGGUAAGCCUUCAUCUCUCCUGUGAGGGAAAACAUAUCUCUGAUAUGGAAUUAGUGGAGCUUGGAGUCUUGUAGCAUCAUUUUCCUUCUUGAAACUAGUGGAAGAUUGUCCUUAUUGCUCUACAUUUUGUCCCACUGCUUGUGACAAGACAUCAUAGCCUUGUGGCCUAAGACUUAAUUGAGAAAUUUUGCAGGACGAAAUAGUAAAGAAGAAAAAUUCAAGGAGCAAAUGUCGAUAUAGAGAAGAAAGAAAAAGGAAAAGAGAUCGGGGAGAGGAGAUUGCACGGAGGAGAAGAAGGAUCGGCAUCCGUGGCAGACUAUCUGGGCACCAUGAGUGGGCCGA